rnacentral:rRNA from 1 species
AUGUCCGGCUUCGUCGGGGUCGUCGUCUCCGACCCCUCCCUGCAGGGCCAGUUCACGCAGGUGGAGCUCCGAUCGCUCAAGGCCAAGUUCGUGUCUCUGAAGAGGGACUCCGGCCAUGUCACCACCAAGAACCUCCCGGGGCUGAUGAAGAAGCUCAGGGGACUUCACGAAGUGGUCCCUGAGGAGGAGAUCGCCGCCUUCUUGUCGGAGUCGUACCCUGACAGCGACCAGGAGAUUGAGUUCGAGUCCUUCCUCCGGGAGUACCUGAAUCUGCAAGCAAGGGUGAGCGCCAAGGAAGGAAGCGCCGCUGCCGGCGGCGGCGGGGCUGGCGGCCGCAAGAACUCGUCGUCGUUCCUCAAAUCCACCAUCACUACGCUGCUGCACAAUCUCAACCAGGCGGAGAAGUCUUCUUACGUGGCGCAUAUUAACACUUACCUUGGUGAAGACCCAUUCUUGAAGAAGUACUUGCCAAUCGACCCAUCCGGCAACCAGCUAUUCGAUCUUAUUCGGGAUGGUGUCCUGCUCUGUAAGUUGAUCAAUGUAGCUGUACCUGGGACCAUUGAUGAGAGAGCAAUAAAUAAGAAAAGAGUUCUUAACCCAUGGGAGAGGAAUGAAAACCACACACUGUGCCUCAACUCUGCAAAGGCCAUUGGAUGUACUGUUGUCAACAUUGGCACCCAGGAUUUAGUGGAAGGAAGGCCUCAUUUAGUUCUUGGAUUGAUAUCUCAAAUCAUAAAGAUUCAACUUUUGGCUGAUCUUAAUCUUAAGAAGACACCCCAGCUUGUGGAAUUGUUUGAUGACAGUAAGGAUAUAGAUGAAGUGUUGAGCUUGUCACCAGAAAAGAUGCUGCUUCGAUGGAUGAACCAUCAUCUGAAAAAGGCUGGCUACAAGAAAACUGUCAACAAUUUCUCUUCGGAUGUGAAGGAUGGUGAAGCCUAUGCUUAUCUUCUAAAAGCUCUUGCUCCAGAGACUUCCCCUGAAACCACACUGGUGACCAAGGAUCCUGAUGAAAGGGCAAAAAUGGUACUUGAACAAGCAGAGAAGUUGGACUGCAAAAGAUACCUUACACCAAAGGAUAUCACUGAGGGUUCUGCCAACUUGAAUCUUGCAUUUGUUGCACAAAUAUUCCAGCAUCGGAAUGGUCUAACUAGUGACAUUAAACAAGUUACACUCACACAGACAGCAUCACGUGAUGAUGUUCUAGUAUCCAGAGAAGAAAGGGCCUUCCGAAUGUGGAUCAACAGCCUUGGGGUCGAGUCAUACGUGAAUAAUGUUUUUGAAGAUGUUCGCAAUGGAUGGGUACUUCUUGAAGUACUUGACAAAGUUUCUCCUGGAUCUGUCAAUUGGAAGUUGGCAUCAAAACCUCCAAUUAAGUUGCCAUUUAGGAAACUGGAGAACUGCAAUCAAGUUGUAAAAAUUGGGAAGGAGUUAAAGUUUUCAUUAGUAAAUUUAGCUGGGAAUGAUAUUGUUCAGGGAAAUAAGAAAUUGAUAGUUGCACUUCUGUGGCAAUUGAUGAGAUUUAAUAUCCUUCAAUUGCUAAACAGACUGAGAUCCCACUCCAAAGGAUCCCAAGGAAAGCAAAUUACUGAUGCAGAUAUACUGAACUGGGCAAACAGCAAAGUGAAAGCAUCAGGAAGAACAUCUCGAAUGGAAAGCUUCAAGGAUAAGAGUUUAUCAAAUGGAGUGUUCUUCCUCGAACUUCUUAGUGCAGUUCAGCCAAGGGUUGUGAACUGGAAAGUAGUUACAAAGGGAGAAGCUGACGAGGAAAAGAAGCUAAAUGCUACCUACAUCAUUAGUGUUGCAAGAAAGCUCGGAUGUUCUGUGUUUCUACUGCCAGAGGACAUUAUAGAGGUGAACCAGAAGAUGAUCCUAACUCUUACAGCUAGCAUCAUGUAUUGGAGCCUGCUGAGACAACCACAGCCUGAAAUAUCUGAAGCAUCAGAGCCAUCUAGCAUGGCUUCGGACGCAACUUCUGACAUUGGCUCGGAGGAUGGUGCCUCAACAGCAGCACCGUCCGAGAGCGAAGAGGCAAACUCACUGUCCGAUAGUCUAUCCACCCUGACCACAGACGACGCCACCUCAAAUGCUCCAGCUGCAGAAAACGGGAGCGACACCACCUCGAAUGCUCCAGCUGCAGAAAACGGGACCGGCGCCACCCCAGAUGCUCCACCUGCAGAAAACGGGAACAACGCCACCCCAGAUGCUCCACCUGCAGAAAACGGGAACGACGCCACAUGA